GGUGGGGAAGGGAGGAACAAUAAACAAAUACAUAGGUAAAAUGCAUAUUUACAUUAUAUCAAAGAUUCUCAACCAGGGGUGGUUUUGUCCCCCAGGAGACAUUUGGCAGUGUCUGGAGACAUUUCUGGCUGUCACAACCUAGGGAGGAAAGUUGCAGGUAUUGAGUGGGUCGAGGGUGGUGAUGCUGCUAAACAUCCUGCAAGGCACAGGAUAAUAGCCCGCAACAAAGAACUGUCCCAAAAUGCCAAUCAUGCCAAGCUUGAGAAGCCCUGUAUGAGGUGGUGGCAAGAGUUACAGGGAAAACAAUCCGAGAAAGGUCAAAGGGAGUCCCAGGGGCAAGGUGGAGGGGGUGAGGAGUUGUUCAGGGAAGAGCUCACCAGGAAGAUGACAUCUGAACAAAAACCUGCAAAAGGAGCAGCGGGGAGCUGCUGUAGAUAUCUGCAGGAAGAGCAUCAUAGGACAGGAAAUGACAAAUGUGAAGGCCCUGAGGGAGGAACAUGUUGGGCAAGUUCCGGGAAAGCAGGAGACCAAUGUGGCAGGGGCAGAGUGAGCAAUGGAGAUCAGGCAUUCCAGGUUAGACAUAUGGAGUCUGAGAUGCCAAUAAGAAAUCCAAAUGGAGAUGUCACAGACUGUAGAAUGAGUCUAGGGUUUACCAAAAUCUGGGUUGGACAUACUAAUCUACUGGAAACGAAAAAACAAAUGGCAUCUAAAUUGGCAAAGAGUAUAAAAUCGCCAAAGAUGUGAGCAUAGAGAGUAGUAGUCUGAAGACUGGGGAGUUAUACAGGGCCCAGAUUGUAGAGAAUGUUAUCAAAAUGCUAGAGACAUAUGGUCUGGCCGGGUACAGUGGCUCACACCUGUCAUCCCAGCACUUUAGGAGGCCAAGGUGGGCAGAUCACUUGAGCCCAAGAGUUUGAGACCAGCCUGGGCAACAUGGCAAAACCCCACCUCUAUUUUUAUUUAAGAAAAAAAAAGUAGAUAAUUGUCACUAUAAAUUCCUUAGAGGAAAGCUAAAACCAAGAUUUUUAAAGCAACAGUAUCAUGGAUUAGUGGAGUUGUUUAAAGAAUUCCAUUGCGGGACCAUAAAAAUCAACUAACUUAAAUCCAAAAUAUUAGAGAUGAGGAGGCUGAUGCCCCACAUAGCAAGGUCACAGAACAGUGGGAUUUUGGAGUGCAUUAGCCCGGGGUCCCACAGCUGAUUAUGGGCAUAAUCAAAACAAGAAGCUUAAUCUUCUUUCUUAUUCUAAUGCUCUUUCUUCUUUAUCAUGCUGAGAAGUCCAACUCAGAAGUCCAAUUCAAAACAAAGAAGAAAUUCUUCUGAAAUAAUCAUUUCAACUGGGGGAGAAAUUUGAUUUGCUUACAAAUAUUUGAUACUCACAAAACUUGUCUUAUAGACAACUUGCAGCAUAAAGCAGUGCACCUCUCUAUCUGCAGAAGAAUAAGAACAAUCCUGUGUACUAAACUCAAGGAUGAAACACCAAUCUUGUUUUGGGGAGGUAAAAUAAGCUCUCUGGCAACUGGUCCUGUUGCUUUAGCACCUAGGAGGAAAGUAAGGAAGUGAGUCAACAUGGGGACAUAACUUGGUUAGCCCAGGAUUUCAUCUGUACUCUGCAAUAAACAAGCCAACAUUAAUUCAGAAGGCUGCUGUGUGUCCCUGAUAGAAUUACCCGUGAAUGUUGCUGGUGCUAACAGUAAUAGGAGGCACAGUGAUUCUGUGCUUUCCCU
rnacentral:lncRNA from 10 species